UCCCUCCGCUCCCGCCGCGUCCCCGCCCGGCCCUGGAUGCAAAGGCGAGCGGAGAGAACCCGGACUGCGCUCUGAGCCGCUCUCGCCUUCCCCGCUGCCAUCAGCGGAGCGGCUGCCCGAGCCUGUGCUCGAUUUUAUUCUAAUUUCAGAGGGUUUAUGGGGCGGUUGGCUUUUUUUUUGUUUGUUUUUUGAGUUUGAGUUUUUUCCCCCAGAUCUUGGAGCUCAGCAAUGUCUUAAACGGAUUACACGGAGGAGGGGUUGAAGCUGAAAACCUCAUUCAUCCUCACGACGCUCCUAUUCAUUGCUGAAAUAGGUGUAGCGUAGGAGCCGAGGGGCUCCAGCCAACUGUGUGGUCUCACGUACCGUUGCUCCCGCUGAAUAGUUUCCAAGUUUGAGGUAAAAGAACAAAUCGCACUUUUCAGGGACUUAUUGAGACGCUCAGAAAUAAAAAAAUAAUUAAAAAUGAAAAUAAUAAAAAAAUCGUGUAAGGCUA